rnacentral:rRNA from 1 species
UACGUAGGGGGCAAGCGUUGUCCGGAAUUAUUGGGCGUAAAGCGCGCGCAGGCGGCCGCUUAAGUCUGGUGUAUAAGCCCAGGGCUCAACCCUGGGAGGCACCGGAAACUGGGUGGCUUGAGUGCAGAAGAGGAGAGUGGAAUUCCACGUGUAGCGGUGAAAUGCGUAGAGAUGUGGAGGAACACCAGUGGCGAAGGCGACUCUCUGGUCUGUAACUGACGCUGAGGCGCGAAAGCGUGGGGAGCAAACAGG